UAAAACAGAGUGCCUAGGCUAUGCAGAC
rnacentral:piRNA from 1 species